rfam:Puccinia triticina 1-1 BBBD Race 1 supercont2.13923, whole genome shotgun sequence.
CAAGCAAGCCAAGGACCAUAUGUUUUUUGUGUUACACUUUCAGCAUCUAAGCUUAUUAUAUUCAACACAAGGAGAAAGUCCCCGGAAAAAAAAUAUCUUCUGUCCAAUGAUUAAAGAUUAGGGCAGUGGGGUAUUUAGUAAAGCAACUUUGUUUGUUUGUUUUUUUCAUAAUAAAAGUAAUAUGGUCACCCUAUAAUAAUGGGGCAACUUAAUGGGGCUUACUCUGGCUUGUUU